rnacentral:rRNA from 1 species
AUUGAACGCUGGCGGCAUGUUUUACACAUGCAAGUCGAACGGCAGCACAGGGAGCUUGCUCCCGGGUGGCGAGUGGCGCACGGGUGAGUAAUACAUCGGAACGUGUCCUGUUGUGGGGGAUAACUGCUCGAAAGGGUGGCUAAUACCGCAUGAGACCUGAGGGUGAAAGCGGGGGAUCGCAAGACCUCGCGCAAUUGGAGCGGCCGAUGCCCGAUUAGCUAGUUGGUGAGGUAAAGGCUCACCAAGGCGACGAUCGGUAGCUGGUCUGAGAGGACGACCAGCCACACUGGGACUGAGACACGGCCCAGACUCCUACGGGAGGCAGCAGUGGGGAAUUUUGGACAAUGGGGGCAACCCUGAUCCAGCCAUGCCGCGUGCAGGAUGAAGGCCUUCGGGUUGUAAACUGCUUUUGUCAGGGACGAAAAGGACCGUGUUAAUACCAUGGUCUGCUGACGGUACCUGAAGAAUAAGCACCGGCUAACUACGUGCCAGCAGCCGCGGUAAUACGUAGGGUGCAAGCGUUAAUCGGAAUUACUGGGCGUAAAGCGUGCGCAGGCGGUUCUGUAAGACAGAUGUGAAAUCCCCGGGCUCAACCUGGGAAUUGCAUUUGUGACUGCAGGACUAGAGUUCAUCAGAGGGGGGUGGAAUUCCAAGUGUAGCAGUGAAAUGCGUAGAUAUUUGGAAGAACACCAAUGGCGAAGGCAGCCCCCUGGGGUGCGACUGACGCUCAUGCACGAAAGCGUGGGGAGCAAACAGG